AACGAACGCUGGCGGCAUGCCUAACACAUGCAAGUCGAACGAAGCCUUCGGGCUUAGUGGCGCACGGGUGCGUAACGCGUGGGAACCUACCAUCAGGUUCGGAAUAACAGUUAGAAAUGACUGCUAAUACCGGAUAAUGUCUUCGGACCAAAGAUUUAUCGCCUUUUGAUGGGCCCGCGUAAGAUUAGGUAGUUGGUGGGGUAAAGGCCUACCAAGCCGACGAUCUUUAGCUGGUCUGAGAGGAUGAUCAGCCACACUGGGACUGAGACACGGCCCAGACUCCUACGGGAGGCAGCAGUGGGGAAUAUUGGACAAUGGGCGAAAGCCUGAUCCAGCAAUGCCGCGUGAGUGAUGAAGGCCUUAGGGUUGUAAAGCUCUUUACUGGGGAUGAUAAUGACAGUACCCAGAGAAUAAGCUCCGGCUAACUCCGUG
rnacentral:rRNA from 1 species